CGCGGCCCCGCUCUGCUGCCGUCCGCCUGCCGGGCAGACGGCGGCGGCGCGGCGGGGCGCGAUGGCGGCCGGGCUGGGGCCGUGGCUGCUGGCCUUGGCCUUGGGGCCGGCAGGAGUAUGCACACAGUACCAGCUCGUAGAGUUUGGUGGAGAUGUGCAAGUAUCUGGGGACUCUGUGUCCCUGUUCUGCCGGGCAUCUGGAUUCAGCUUCAGCGUCUAUGACAUACACUGGUACCGUCAGACUCCCAGAGGCGUUCCUGAGUGGGUGUCCUUCAUCGGCAGCCAGGCUGGUACUACAAAGAAAUAUGGGACAGCUGUGGAAGGUCGAGCCACUGUCUCCCGGAACAACUCCCAAGCCAUGGCAUCUCUCUCCCUUCACCGCUUGCAUCCAGGGGACUCAGCCCGCUACUUCUGCGGCAUUGCACUGUGACAGGAAAUCCAACUGAUGCUUAACAAAAAACCCUUACCAGGAAGACAUGGACUAGAGUGCAUCUGUAGGGCUACUGAGAACUGUGUCAGCUUUGGGCUGCUUCCACAAGGCGAGGAGACAUCACUGCACACCACAUAUAGCCCUGUCCUUUCUGCAAGAGUUUCUUUCCUUUUACCACUCAUCCUGACUGACUCUCAAAAGCAGUACUGUGAGCUGAGAAAGAUGCUCAGUGUAUUCCUUGUCACCAAAUCAGCUUGGCCACUCUCCCUGCCUGCAGACCCUCUCUGCCUGCCCUUUGUCCCCUUCUUCCCUUUGACACUCAUAUCGCUCAGGCUUAAGAAGCAGCAUUGCCUGUUUGCACUGACAUCCCAUCACCAAUCCAGCCCUCAGCCAUUUCCGUGAGCGCAAAAAAGAACGGCAGUGGAUGAACAGCCCAGUUGUGGCUUGAUGUGCAUUUCAGGUUAAUGGCAUCCAAGCACCAAGGCCUGCAGUGUGAGGGCAAGCAAAGCACACAUAGACCCUGUAAUGUACUUGUAGCUCCAAUGCUUCCUAUAUUUUCGUGGCCUGAUACCAGAAACAUCUCAGCAGGUCCCUCCAGAGCAAGGACUUACUCCCCUUACUCCAGAGCAAGGGCUGGGAUGUCUCCUACAGCCCAGCCCUAUGCAGUUGCUGGCAACAAAGGGGUUACUGAGGUUCCUGCAAUGUGCCCAAGGCUCUUCCUUAGGAGACAGCCUUAAGAAUAUAGUAAAAGAAAGGUUGAGAGAGUCUCUAGCUGUUCAAAAAACUUCUCUCCUACUCUGCUCCCAGGCAUUAGCUUGCUUGGUCACUUUGUGCUAAUUGCACUACAACUACCCAGGAGGCAGCAAGCAGCUUUUGUGAAUCUGGCCAGAGGCCCUGCAAAUUAUAGCCAAAUUGACUCCAAAUCAAGCAUGUUUAUUUGAGCUCUAUUCAACACUAUUCAGUACUCUCAAGGGGAACUGAAGGUCUCCAGGUCUGAAGACGAAACAAUGCUGUUGCUAAACCAAGGAGCCAACCAUCCAUGGUAUCAGUCACCUUUCUAGUCAAGAAGAAACAAUGGAAUCAAAAGUCACCUCAUUUAGGUAAGGGACGAAUAAGAUUCUCUUAAGAAGGAAUAGAAGGAAGAGUCUGAAAAGACAGGCUACUCUACAGCAGAGCAGUCACAAGAACAGGAUGGGGAAGAGAGAGAAUUCGUGAAUCAGUCAGAAGUCCCACAGUCUUUAUCCAUUAGUGAGCUGUGAGAUACGCAAAAUGAUUUCAGCCAUCCUACAAGUGAACAUGUUACCACUGGCUUCUCUGAUGCUGGGAAAAGGCCCAGUGUCUGAGAUCUCUUUCCCCUUGGCAGAGCAACUGGAAAAACGGGCACUAGUCCUCAGCCUCUGGAGGUGAUUCCUACCAAAUGUGAAGGAAAGGUAACCCUUCAAAGCAAGUAAUUGCCAUGGAGGGAGGUAUUCAGUAGCUGAGAGAAUUAGCCAUGUUGGAUGAUGCGGAGGAAUGCAGAGAUCUAGUGUGUACUUCAGUGAGACUUAACCUUAGGUGAAGCUAUUCUAUAAUUAGAGUUAUAUGUUGUAGGAAAGCACUGCAGAAGACACUAACUGGAUCAAGAAAGAGUGAACUUGGCAAGGAACCUAGUAAGUUGAGUGUAGCGAUGACUCAAAGCUGGUGCGGGCCUCCAGGAAUUCAACAUGCUGCUUCUCCAGGGUCCAGAGGAGGGCCACAAAGAUGAUCAGGGGACUGGAGCAUCUCUCCUAUGAAGACAGGCUGAGG